UUGUCUCUUGAUUUGGUUCUUUAGUUCUCAGUCCCCCAUUUUAACUUGGCACACAAAGGUAUGGAAGGGGAAGAGGGCAAAUCUGUUCUGAGCACUAUGGCUGAGACCCAUAUUCCAACACCUUCGUACUCUACGCAAACUCUCCCUUCUGGGCCUGCUGCUCCUCCAGCUGUUGCUGUUCCUCCUACUGUAUUUGCUGCUUCCGUUCAGAACAAGAAAGGAAGCUCGAAGAUGUUGAUCUCCACAACUCCACUUACUUCAAGAUCCAUGCGGUCGUUAAAAAUCUUCGCCCCUUCUAUAUCGAGGGCACUAGAAUAAGGUGGGGAUGGAGGAUUAGGGCUCAGCGGGGUGUUGGGAAGUUCUGCAGUUUGCUGCAAAAUCCACCAGCGAGCCACUGGGCAUCAUUGGAACUUGGGAUGUACUUUCUUCUAGUUAAGAUGAGCAUAUUGCAUUCGAUUCAAAUUGGAACUACCUUCCUCUUUUUGUUUCUA